rnacentral:SRP_RNA from 1 species
ACUGGGCGUCGUGGCGGGCGCCUGUGAGCCAGCGUCUAGGCAGUAGAUUGGUGUGGAUGGAGUGAGGGGAGGAGUCCCGUGACGGUCGUGCUGUACGGCGACCGGGCGUCCGAGCCAAGCGUUGCGUCGCCAAGGUGCUACUAUCGGAGGAUGGUGGUUCCUGGGCGGUCAAGGAGGGGUGCACGGCUCAGGCCCGAAAGGGAGCAGGCAGAAGCCACGCGCGACGCAGUGGCCGGAUAGCGCCCGUGAGUGCUCGCGUCGUUGCGGCCUCUCCGAUACCUUCAGACCUCCAGUCGU